rnacentral:rRNA from 1 species
UGGGGAAUUUUGGACAAUGGGCGAAAGCCUGAUCCAGCAAUGCCGCGUGCAGGACGAAGGCCUUCGGGUUGUAAACUGCUUUUGUACGGAACGAAAAGGUAGCUCCUAAUACGAGCUGCCGAUGACGGUACCGUAAGAAUAAGCACCGGCUAACUACGUGCCAGCAGCCGCGGUAAUACGUAGGGUGCGAGCGUUAAUCGGAAUUACUGGGCGUAAAGCGUGCGCAGGCGGUUAUGUAAGACAGAGGUGAAAUCCCCGGGCUCAACCUGGGAACGGCCUUUGUGACUGCAUAGCUAGAGUACGGUAGAGGGGGAUGGAAUUCCGCGUGUAGCAGUGAAAUGCGUAGAUAUGCGGAGGAACACCGAUGGCGAAGGCAAUCCCCUGGACCUGUACUGACGCUCAUGCACGAAAGCGUGGGGAGCAAACAGGAUUAGAUACCCUGGUAGUCCACGCCCUAAACGAUGUCAACUGGUUGUUGGGUCUUAACUGACUCAGUAACGAAGCUAACGCGUGAAGUUGACCGCCUGGGGAGUACGGCCGCAAGGUUG